GUCGGGAAUAUUGCGCAAUGGAGGAAACUCUGACGCAGUGACGCCGCGUAUAGGAUGAAGGUUUUCGGAUUGUAAACUAUUGUCAACAGGGAAGAAAAAGACAGUACCUGAAGAGGAAGCCCCGGCUAACUAUGUGCCAGCAGCCGCGGUAAUACAUAGGGGGCGAGCGUUAUCCGGAUUUAUUGGGUGUAAAGGGUGCGUAGACGGGAAGGCAAGUUAGUUGUGAAAUCCCUCGGCUUAACUGAAGAACUGCAACUAAAACUAUCUUUCUUGAGUGCGGGAGAGGAAAGUGGAAUUCCUAGUGUAGCGGUGAAAUGCGUAGAUAUUAGGAGGAACACCAGUGGCGAAGGCGACUUUCUGGACCGUAACUGACGUUGAGGCACGAAAGUGUGGGGAGCAAACAGGA
rnacentral:rRNA from 1 species